UGAGGAAUAUUGGUCAAUGGGGCGGAAGCCUGAACCAGCCAUGCCGCGUGAAGGAAUAAGGCCCUAUGGAUCGUAAACUUCUUUUGUGGUGGAGCAAUAAGACGUACGUGUACGUCGAUGAGAUUACAUCAGGAAUAAGGACCGGCUAAUUCCGUGCCAGCAGCCGCGGUAAUACGGAAGGUCCGGGCGUUAUCCGGAUUUAUUGGGUUUAAAGGGAGCGUAGGCCGGAGAUUAAGCGUGUUGUGAAAUGCCGCGGCUCAACCGUGGCACUGCAGCGCGAACUGGUUUUCUUGAGUGCGCGCGACGCAGGCGGAAUUCGUGGUGUAGCGGUGAAAUGCUUAGAUAUCACGAGGAACCCCGAUUGCGAAGGCAG
rnacentral:rRNA from 1 species